UGGGGAAUUUUGGACAAUGGGCGAAAGCCUGAUCCAGCAAUGCCGCGUGUGUGAAGAAGGCCUUCGGGUUGUAAAGCACUUUUGUCCGGAAAGAAAUCCUUGGCUCUAAUACAGUCGGGGGAUGACGGUACCGGAAGAAUAAGCACCGGCUAACUACGUGCCAGCAGCCGCGGUAAUACGUAGGGUGCAAGCGUUAAUCGGAAUUACUGGGCGUAAAGCGUGCGCAGGCGGUUUGCUAAGACCGAUGUGAAAUCCCCGGGCUCAACCUGGGAACUGCAUUGGUGACUGGCAGGCUAGAGUAUGGCAGAGGGGGGUAGAAUUCCACGUGUAGCAGUGAAAUGCGUAGAGAUGUGGAGGAAUACCGAUGGCGAAGGCAGCCCCCUGGGCCAAUACUGACGCUCAUGCACGAAAGCGUGGGGAGCAAACAGGAUUAGAUACCCUGGUAGUCCACGCCCUAAACGAUGUCAACUAGUUGUUGGGGAUUCAUUUCCUUAGUAACGUAGCUAACGCGUGAAGUUGACCGCCUGGGGAGUACGGUCGCAAGAUUAAACUCAAAGGAAUUGACGGGGUCAUAGCUGUUUCCU
rnacentral:rRNA from 1 species